UCAUAUUAGGAAUCCCAUCAAUGAUUGGAUAAGCUAUUCCCAACUCUUCAUUAAUCAAUUCAUUUGUUGAUGCUUCAUAUCUGAGCGGCUUCUUGGAGAGCGGGCACACCAGGAACUCCAGCAGCGCCGGAUCGAAGGCGCGGGGCGGCUCCUCAGUCUUCUUGCCCGGGUCGGCCAGAGGCCGCGACCCCGACGCGUGCAGGCACCUACGGGCGACCGCGGACGGCGGCGCGCGCGUUCCCCGCAGCGCUGAGGCGAGCCUGCAGCGUGCUUCACUCAGCAUGGUCUGGCAGCCGGAGACCAGGCCUCACUGCGCCCUCGCCAGCCGUGGCCGAGCUCCUGGCUCCCCGUUCGUCCAGGCCAGCCGGCCAGGCCCCGCCCCCUGGUGCUCUGGGAAACACUGCCGGGGAGUAGGCGGAGCGGGCGCUUUGGUUCCGAGGGUGCUCCUGCUCCGACUCCUUUUCCCACGGGCGUCAUUUACAGUCUGUAGGACAGCCCCAGGGCAGAGGCCUCUGUUUUUCCAUGUCCGAAGACUCAAAGAUUCUUGUUAGUCAUCCAUUUUUUCCCUCCGUUCUGCUGAAUAUCAACCUGAACUUUUUUUUGCAUCACUGGGCAUUAUCAUUUCACACUUUGAGUUCCUGGAGCUGGAAGUACAGAAUCCAAAAAUAUGUUUAUAUUUUCAAAUUUCUCUUCCAGGCCAAUGUAAAAAUAAACUGAGAAAUGUUUAUGUGUUCAUCGUAA